UUCCUGGAGAACUACAGUCCUAUAGGUUCACUCCAACCCUGUUCCUGGAGAACUACAGUCCUAUAGGUUCACUCCAACCCUGUUCCUGGAGAACUACAGUCCUAUAGGUUCACUCCAACCCUGUUCCUGGAGAACUACAGUCCUAUAGGUUCACUCCAACCCUGUUCCUGGAGAACUACAGUCCUAUAGGUUCACUCCAACCCUGUUCCUGGAGAACUACAGUCCUAUAGGUUCACUCCAACCCUGUUCCUGGAGAGCUACAGUCCUAUAGGUUCACUCCAACCCUGUUCCUGGAGAACUACAGUCCUAUAGGUUCACUCCAACCCUGUUCCUGGAGAGCUACAGUCCUAUAGGUUCACUCCAACCCUGUUCCUGGAGAACUACAGUCCUAUAGGUUCACUCCAACCCUGUUCCUGGAGAACUACAGUCCUAUAGGUUCACUCCAACCCUGUUCCUGGAGAACUACAGUCCUAUAGGUUCACUCCAACCCUGUUCCUGGAGAACUACAGUCCUAUAGGUUCACUCCAACCCUGUUCCUGGAGAACUACAGUCCUAUAGGUUCACUCCAACCCUGUUCCUGGAGAACUACAGUCCUAUAGGUUCACUCCAACCCUGUUCCUGGAGAACUACAGUCCUAUAGGUUCACUCCAACCCUGUUCCUGGAGAACUACAGUCCUAUAGGUUCACUCCAACCCUGUUCCUGGAGAACUACCCUCCUAUAGGUUUACUCCAAGCCUGUUCCUGGAGAACUACAGUCCUAUAGGUUCACUCCAGCCCUAUUCCUGGAGAACUACCCUCCUAUAGGUUCACUCCAGCCCUAUUCCUGGAGAACUACCAUCCUAUAGGUUCACUC